AGUGAACGCUGGCGGUAGGCCUAACACAUGCAAGUCGAACGGCAGCACAGUAAGAGCUUGCUCUUACGGGUGGCGAGUGGCGGACGAGUGAGGAAUACAUCGGAAUCUACUUUUUCGUGGGGGAUAACGUAGGGAAACUUACGCUAAUACCGCAUACGACCUACGGGUGAAAGCAGGGGAUCUUCGGACCUUGCGCGAUUGAAUGAGCCGAUGUCGGAUUAGCUAGUUGGCGGGGUAAAGGCCCACCAAGGCGACGAUCCGUAGCUGGUCUGAGAGGAUGAUCAGCCACACUGGAACUGAGACACGGUCCAGACUCCUACGGGAGGCAGCAGUGGGGAAUAUUGGACAAUGGGCGCAAGCCUGAUCCAGCCAUACCGCGUGGGUGAAGAAGGCCUUCGGGUUGUAAAACCCUUUUGUUGGGAAAGAAAAGCAGCAGGUUAAUACCCCGCUGUUCUGACGGUACCCAAAGAAUAAGCACCGGCUAACUUCGUG
rnacentral:rRNA from 1 species